GGGCGUGUGGCUCAGUUGGUAGAGCGUUCGCUUAGCAUGUUCAAUCUUUGUCUUUGGAUGUGCGAAAGGUCCUGGGUUCGAUUCCCAGCUCGUCCA